rnacentral:lncRNA from 1 species
GCAGAAAGAAGAGAAAGAAGCACAAGUGAGGCCAGCAUAAAGCGUGCAUCCAAUUGAAAUAGAUCGGGAGGAGACUUCUCAAGGUCGUGUCUUGACAAGAGGAAAUUACCAGAAGUCUUCGAUUUGGAAGGGGUGCAAAUUUUAGUGCGAUGUUUGUCUCCACAAGAAGCCCAUGCAGAACCACCCUGCCCAUCGUUGCACCUGCAAAACUAGAGACAGUGGCAAAAUGGAAGGUCGUGAAGAAGUGCGUUCUUCCUAGAAAGCCUUCCAUGCUCAUGAGCAGGACUGUCACUGAAGUUGCAGAUGUGAAACAAGGGCUAUCUUGAUCAAUUUUCGUUCUUCACAAUGUACACAUCGAAGACGCUUGGAUCUCAAACCUUGCUUCAGACCGAGGCCCUCCACUGAGAAGGGCUGUGAUUGUUCUGUUGCAGGAAGACAAAGUUGAGACCAAGGAAGGUGUGCAUAUGCAGCUUGGACCACGAUAAUGCUUGAUUUGCAACUUAUUUGAACAGUAAAUUGGCUGGUGCCUUUGAUGCCUGUCUGCGGAGUGGGAUCUGCAUAGACUAAGGACACUGUGUGGCCACAGUCGAACCCUUCUGACCAGAGGCAUGUAGGCUGCACCAGCUACCCUGAGCUUCCCCCACCUCCCCCUCAGUUCACCAUCAUUCAGGUGCGGCCAGCAUUCACCUCUAAGCAUAGCUCCUGAUGCAGCUCGAAUUUGUCAGGGUGUUUUUCCAAUGUGCAUAUUCCUGCGGGCCAUGAUGAGACUAGCAGGCCUGCGGAGAUAUCACUUAGAAAAUGGAUGUGUGCCUGGGGUUUACACUGGUUCUUUGAGGAUCUUAUCGGGUUGCAGUCUGCAUGUUCCCUCAUAAAUGGCUGCUUUGCAUAAUGCAAGCUCCAGUGGAAUCCUGAGCCAGCCAGGAUUCUCCUGCCUGUUAUUGGGAGGUCUGCGCAUGUGAUUCUUCUUGGCCCUCUACACCGAGCGUAAACACCUUUACUGUCUUUGUCUUGCAGGAAGCUAGCAGCGCAUCUUCAUCCCAGCAAUGACAUUAGCACUUUCCUGCGAUUGACGCCUCACAUUACACAAGAUAUGGACGAUGGAGGGAUGUGACAGCCCAGAGAUCUAGCAGAUGGACAUGAAACAAUGCCGCUCACUCGAGACUGCCACAAAUUGGAGACUGGAGCUCUGAAUGAGUAUUCACAAAGCUUUUCAUGGCACGCAGCUUGCGGGAUUAGAGCUGCUUGGGAUGUGUCAGGAAUUACGCACUUGGACAUUGCAGCUGCAUCUCAUCCCUGAGAAGUCUUGGCUCAAUGCAUGUGAAAGCAAGAGUUUGUGGGAGUGUACCAUUUUCUGAGCAUUAUUGUUGUCUUGAAUGGGGUUGCUGUAGAAACCUGGUAAGUUUAAAAUAGUGUAUGAAACAAUUGGCAGCUGUUUUUUCUGGACCGGCAGUCUUUGCUUCUUGUCUGUAAAGCAGGAAGCUUCAUUGCUCAUUGGAUCAUUGCUCAUUGGAUCAUUGCUCAUUGGACACAAGUACACCAUGUGGGAAAUCCUGCCAAUUGAUCCUGCGACAUGACUGUGCAGCUGACAC